AUCGAUUUCAGAAAAUCUUGAACUUCAAAGGGCCAUAUCUCCCAAACCGUUUGGCCAAUUUUGGUGGGGUUUUUUCCUACAAGUCACAUUUGAUCCCCUCUUUCCAAAAAUAUAAAUUUCAUGAGCCAAAACUUCACCAAUCAAAAUGGCAUAUUUUGACCUUUUUCAUUUAAAUGUAAGUUUGACCAAGAGUUGACUUUUUGAUUUAAACAUUUUUUCAACAUUUGGCCAAUUGGAACAGCUCAUAAAUGUCAUUUAGAAUGUGUUUGCAAAGUCAAAAUAUGCAGUACAUAAGGCCAUUGCUUGGUUGCUUGAAUUGUAAGAAAGGUACAAUUUCACCAUACUUGUC
rnacentral:lncRNA from 1 species